rnacentral:rRNA from 1 species
UAAGGAAUAUUGGUCAAUGGACGCAAGUCUGAACCAGCCAUGCCGCGUGAAGGAUGAAGGUCCUCUGGAUUGUAAACUUCUUCUAUCUGGGACGAAAACGGGAUUUUUAUCUCAAUUGACGGUACCAGAGGAAUAAGCACCGGCUAACUCCGUGCCAGCAGCCGCGGUAAUACGGAGGGUGCGAGCGUUAUCCGGAUUUACUGGGUUUAAAGGGUGCGUAGGUGGGCUUAUAAGUCAGUGGUGAAAUCUCCGAGCUUAACUUGGAAACUGCCGUUGAUACUAUAGGUCUUGAAUUAUCUGGAGGUAAGCGGAAUAUGUCAUGUAGCGGUGAAAUGCUUAGAUAUGACAUAGAACACCAAUUGCGAAGGCAGCUUACUACAUAUAAAUUGACGCUGAGGCACGAAAGCGUGGGGAUCAAAC